rfam:Cajanus cajan Scaffold126026_8, whole genome shotgun sequence.
UUGUUUGCGGAUGUAGCAUCAUCAAGAUUCACAUGCAAAUGAAGGUGGAUGGGACUAUGAUGCAAUCUAAGCUCUGACCCAAUCUAUCCAUUGGUCUUUUUGGAGUGAGAAUCUUGAUGAUGCUGCAUCAGCCAUAAA